CUGAGGUCAGGAGUUUGAGACUGGCCUGGCCAAUAUGGUGAAACCCCUCCUCUGCUAAAAAUACAAAAAUUAGCUAGGCGUGGUGGUGUGUGCCUCCCAACUACUGGGGAGGCUGAGACAGGAGAAUUGCUUGAACCCGGGAGGCAGAGGUUGCAGUGAGCUGAGAUGGCGCCACUGCACUCCAGCCUGGGCGACAGAGCAAGACUCCAUCUCAAAACAAAAACAAAAAUGAAAACAAAAACAAAAACAGAACAAAAACAAAAUCGAGGGGGGGGUCUCCCCGGGACAGCUUGUGGCUUUAAAACAUUAUGCAAGAUGAAUCAUUCUUGAAAAGCCCCCUGGUUCGGGGAUGGUGACUCACGCCUGUAAUCCCAGCACUUUGGGAGGUGGAGGUGGGUGGAUCACUUGAGGCCAGGAGUUCGAGACCAGCCUGGCUAACAUGGUGAAACCCCAUCUCUACUAAAAAUACAUAAAUUAGCUGGGUGUGGUAGCCCACGUCUGUAGUUCCAGCUACUCCGGGGGCUGAGGCAUGAGAAUCGCUUGAACCUGGGAGGCCGAGGUUGCAGUGGGGCAGGCUUUGUCAAACUGCUGCCCCAGGAUACGGUCUUGAGGGUGGCUGUGGGGACACCCAGCACCUGCACCCCAAAGCCAUACGGUGUCAGAUUUUAGGAAGCGGUGGAGAACACUCGGUACCUUCUCGGUCCAGACAUCAAUAUUCCGGAGAGAACCAAAGCACCCACACUGGGCCCUCGCCAUCCUAACAGUCUGCCCACCUGUGAGAAACGCCCCCAAAUACUCUACAUUUCUUGGUUGGCCGAAAAGCAGCUCAGCGAGCAGUCUUACCUCCCAGGUGGGGUUUUCCCCCAGGGUAAGGAGGCCAGGGUCUGCAGGCCAGGGAGAGGAGCCCGGGUGCAGGAGCGGGCGGGGCAGCAGGAGGGCCCGCUCCAGCCACCCAGAAGUGGGCGUGGGCUAGAAUUCCGUUCCCAGCCUUCCAGAAGCUGCAAUUUUACAACCUCACAACAAGCGUCCCCUAGCAAAGCUGCACCGCCAUUUCCUGUGCUUGGGAACUGGAGGCAAGUGCGUCCUGUAGCCCCACAGGGGUUAUGCAUUCGAAUCAUCGACAUUCAGUUUGCAGUUCUUUCUGGAGGCACACGCCGAGACCCCAUUGCUGGGCUUGGUCAGAGACGAGCUUUGGCCAAUGUCAAGGGGAUGCCAGGACGAAAGCCCGUCUGAGCAGAGGCCACCAGAGGCCAGUGUUAAAGAAAAAAGACGUCAUGACACUUGUUAAAGCUUGGUAAGGAAGACUUCGACACCAGGAUGUCUCUAGUAGGGACUGGAAUGGUCCAGGAAUUCCUGCUGCUCCAGGAAUGAGCAGGCGAGUGGCUGAUCCACAGCCCACCUGAGAUGCCAGCGUUGGGGCAUGUUCUGGGCAUGUUUGUUACUGCAACAAAGCUGACUGAUGCAGCCUCUGCUGUUGCUUACCUUGGUCGUGCAGGGAGAGAAACUGAGUUCGCCCGGCACAUUGAUUAUAAGAUGUGUGCUUCUGGGUGGAAAGGGGCUUUGGAGAAACACUGAAUUUAAAUAGAGUCCCUGCUGCAUGGAAGACGGUCACCUGGCCUGCCCUUCCUGAGCGCCGAAAAGCUCAUCUUUGUGUUGGUCAACAUAAAAACGACAAAAGCACUGAAGGUGUCAACUAAUUUUCAAAACAAAACCUCUAAGUACAGUUCAGUGAUAGAGUGAGAUGCGUUGGAUUUGAUGUUGUUUAAGCAUGCUGUGGCCUGCCAGUGGGGAGAUGUGCAGGGAAUUUUUACCAUUGCAGCUCAUGAGGAAAUAAAAUGAUCACCACAAGCUUCACUAUAUAUAGAGUGCUUCGUGUGUGUGUGUGCAUGUGUGUGCAUGCAUAUGUGUGCCUGUAUGUGUGUGCCUGUAUGUGUGUGC
rnacentral:lncRNA from 1 species